rnacentral:rRNA from 1 species
AUUGAACGCUGGCGGAAUGCUUUACACAUGCAAGUCGAACGGCAGCACGGACUUCGGUCUGGUGGCGAGUGGCGAACGGGUGAGUAAUGUAUCGGAACGUGCCCAGUCGUGGGGGAUAACGUAGUGAAAAUUACGCUAAUACCGCAUACGAUCUAUGGAUGAAAGCGGGGGAUCGCAAGACCUCGCGCGAUUUGAGCGGCCGAUAUCAGAUUAGGUAGUUGGUGGGGUAAAGGCCCACCAAGCCAACGAUCUGUAGCUGGUCUGAGAGGACGACCAGCCACGCUGGAACGGCGACACGGUCCAGACUCCUACGGGAGGCAGCAGUGGGGAAUUUUGGACAAUGGGCGAAAGCCUGAUCCAGCCAUUCCGCGUGCAGGAUGAAGGCCCUCGGGUUGUAAACUGCUUUUGUACAGAACGAAAAGGUUUCUACUAAUACUAGGAGCUCAUGACGGUACUGUAAGAAUAAGCACCGGCUAACUACGUGCCAGCAGCCGCGGUAA